AGACUCAUCUUAUUUCAACACUGUCCAGU
rnacentral:piRNA from 1 species